GUUAAAAAGCUCGUAGUUGGAUUUCUGGUAGGAUGACUGUGCCCUCAGUAGAGUGUGCGCUGGCGUCUUGCCAUCCUUCUGUUAACCUUUGGGAGCUUCACCGCUCCCUUUGGGGCUCAGAUAUUUUACCUUGAGAAAAUUAGAGUGUUUCAGGCAGGCUAGCGCCGGAAUACAUUAGCAUGGAAUAAUGGAAUAGGACUUUUGCCUCUUCUGUUGGUCAUGGGGUUCGAGUAAUGAUUAAUAGGGAUAGUUGGGGGCAUUAGUACUUCACUGUCAGAGGUGAAAUUCUCGGAUUUGUGAAAGACUAACUUAUGCGAAAGCAUUUGCCAAGGAUGUUUUCAUUAAUCAAGAACGAAAGUUAGGGGAUCAAAGACGAUCAGAUACCGUCCUAGUCUUAACCCAUAAACUAUGCCGACUCGGGAUCGGGGGCGAGAACCUAUCCGCCUUCGGCACCGUAUGAGAAAUCAAGUCUUGGGUUCUGGGGGGAGU
rnacentral:rRNA from 1 species